GGGGGGCAGGAGGGUUUGGGGUGAUUGGGGCAAAGAGUAAUUAGGGGGCAGGAGGAUUUGGGGCAAUUAGGGGCAGGGAAGGUAAUUGGGCAGGAGGUUAAUUGGGGGGCAAGAGGGUUUGGGGCAAUUAGGGGUCCCUGUCACCCGUGGUCCCAUCACUGGUGGGUCCCUGUCACCGGUGGUGUCACGGUGCCCCCCCGUUGCUGGUGGGUCCUUGUCACCAUGUCCACUCGUCACCCAUGGAGUCACCACGUCCCCCCUGUCACCAGUUCUUCCGUGGCGCCCGGUGUCUUUCCGCCCGCCUGUUCCUUUAACACACCCGGAGCAGGGGGUUGUGGUAGGAAGGGGGCCUCGUGACAUCACGCCCAGCCCGGCCAAUGAGCAUCCAGGAGGCCCUGCCGGCAGUGACCCCCCACCGAGGACCCCCGGAGCAACCACACCUAGUCCAUGAGGCCUCCGCUCACAGGUAGGGGGCGCCCCGCUCCGUCGCCGCGGCAACCUGCCCGCUCUAGAACCGCCCGCCUGCCCGCUCUAGAACCGGCCUCCGUCACCUUGACAGCCUGCCUGGUCUAGAACCCCCCUGCCCCAUGGCAGCCCACCUGAUCUAGAACCCUGCCGUCUCCAUGGCAAACUGCCUGCUCUAGAACCMCCCCCCUCACAUCUCCAUGGUAACCCAGCCCCGGUCUAGAACCACCCCCAGCCCUACCUGUUUCUAUGGUAACUCUGAGCACCCCCCCCCAGCACUGCUGGGGUCCAAUCCUGCCCCAUGGCACUGGGGGGUCCUGGCUAUGGGGCUGAAUCCUGCCCCACGGCAAUGCAGGGUG
rnacentral:lncRNA from 1 species